AUUUAUAAAGUUUUUAUUAAACAUUUCAUUUUCAUUGGAAAGAAAGAUUUAAAAUUUUAUCUUGUAAAUA
rnacentral:tRNA from 1 species